rnacentral:rRNA from 1 species
GGAUAACUGAUCCUACUUUAAAAUAAAAAUUAAACAAAAAAUAAUUUUUUAUUAAAAAUUUUCUAUAGAAAAGUAAUAAAAAUGAAAUUCUAUUAUUAUUUUAGCCUAGUACUGCAAAGGAAAAAAAAAUUAAAGCUUAGUAUUACUUAAUUUUAGUACCUUUUGCAUUAUGGUUUAACGAGAUUAAAUUAAAUUAAAUUUAAAAUCUAGAAUAAAAAAGAGCUAUAAUUAAACAAAAUAUAAUGUAGCAAAAUUAUUAAUAGAUUUAACUAUAGUGGUGAAAUGCCAACGAUUUUUUUGAUAGCUAGUUGGAAAGUAAAAGCAUAUUAGUGCUGUAUAUAGUAAUAAAAUAUUUUAUUAUUAAAAAUAUUUUAAUUUUAUAUUCAUAAUUAUUCAAGGCUAAGCUGGGAUAAAAAUAAAAAUAAAAUAACUUAAAAAAAUUAAUGUAGGCUUAAUAGUUACCAGCAUUUUUAAAGUUUUAUAACAAAAAUUUUAUUAAAUUCUUAUUAUCUUAUUUUUUUUUCACUUUUCUAAUAUUAAAAAUCAUCAUUAGAAUAAAAAUUUAUGUUAAAAUUAGUACUUUAAUUUUUAUUUAUUUUAAGUAAUAAAAAAUUAAUAAAAUAAUAUUAAAAGAAUUAUUAUAAAUAUAAUAAAGGAACUCGGCAAAAAUAAAUUCCGCCUGUUUAACAAAAACAUCGCUCUUUGUUAAUUAAAGAUAAAGAGUCGUACCUGCCCAGUGGAUUAUUUUAACGGCCGCAGUACCCUGACUGUGCUAAGGUAGCAUAAUCAUUUGCCUUUUAAUUGAUGGCUAGAAUGAAUGGUGUGACGAGAAUUUAACUGUCUCUUAUUAUAUUAUUUGGAAAUUAUUUUUUAGGUGAAGAAGCCUAAAUUUAAUUAAAAGACGAAAAGACCCUGUCGAGCUUAAAAACUAAAUUUAAAUUUUUAUCUUGUAGAAUAAUAUUGUUUUUGAUUUAAAAUUUUUGUUGGGGCGACAGAAGAACAAAAGAAGCUUCUUUUAAUUUUUUAAACUUAUUAAUUUUUUUUAUCUAUUACUAAUAAAUUAAAAAAAGUUACCGCAGGGAUAACAGCGUUAUUUUUCCGGAAAGUUCGAAUUAAAGGAAAAGAUUGCGACCUCGAUGUUGGAUUAGAAAACCAAGUAGGUGAAGAAGCUUACUAUAGGAGGUCUGUUCGACCUGUAAUUUUCUACAUGAUCUGAGUUCAAACCGGCGCAAGCCAGGUUGGUUUCUAUCUUUAUUUAUAGAAAUAAAUUAAAUUUAGUACGAAAGGACCAAUUUAGUCAAUCAUUAUUGAAUAUUAUCAACUUAGCAAAUUAAGUGCAAAUAAUUUAGAAUUAUUAAAAAAAGGUUAA